rnacentral:lncRNA from 1 species
GUGACUGUUCUAAGUUAUUUUCAGUAGAAACACUUUCACCCAAUCUAUCUAGUAACAACAUUAGGUGAUGUGUUGGUUAUAGAAGAAAAACAACAAGUUGCGUCCAUCAAUGUAGUUACACCAACAGAAUUUGAAGCGAUUUAUGUUGCUGGAGUAGAACCUACAUCCAUAUUCACUUCAUUAAUUUGUAACCUCAUCUUUAUGUUUACAAAAGAAUUUGAAGCGAUUGAUGUUUACAAAAGAACAAUCUUUUGUAAACUCUUCCUCAUCAAUUUGCACCGACGGUGUAUGCGUUUCGCACCAAGUUUAAGCUUCAUAAGAGUAGC